AAUGCUUUACACAUGCAAGUCGAACGGCAGCACGGACUUCGGUCUGGUGGCGAGUGGCGAACGGGUGAGUAAUAUAUCGGAACGUGCCCAGUCGUGGGGGAUAACGUAGUGAAAAUUACGCUAAUACCGCAUACGAUCUAAGGAUGAAAGCGGGGGAUCGCAAGACCUCGCGCGAUUGGAGCGGCCGAUAUCAGAUUAGGUAGUUGGUGAGGUAAAGGCUCACCAAGCCAAUGAUCUGUAGCUGGUCUGAGAGGACGACCAGCCACACUGGAACUGAGACACGGUCCAGACUCCUACGGGAGGCAGCAGUGGGGAAUUUUGGACAAUGGACGCAAGUCUGAUCCAGCCAUUCCGCGUGCAGGACGAAGGCCUUCGGGUUGUAAACUGCUUUUGUACAGAACGAAAAGGUCUCUAUUAAUACUAGGGGCUCAUGACGGUACUGUAAGAAUAAGCACCGGCUAACUACGUGCCAGCAGCCGCGGUAAUACGUAGGGUGCAAGCGUUAAUCGGAAUUACUGGGCGUAAAGCGUGCGCAGGCGGUUAUAUAAGACAGAUGUGAAAUCCCCGGGCUCAACCUGGGAACUGCAUUUGUGACUGUAUAGCUGGAGUGCGGCAGAGGGGGAUGGAAUUCCGCGUGUAGCAGUGAAAUGCGUAGAUAUGCGGAGGAACACCGAUGGCGAAGGCAAUCCCCUGGGCCUGCACUGACGCUCAUGCACGAAAGCGUGGGGAGCAAACAGGAUUAGAUACCCUGGUAGUCCACGCC
rnacentral:rRNA from 1 species